AGUGAACGCUGGCGGUAGGCCUAACACAUGCAAGUCGAACGGCAGCACAGUAAGAGCUUGCUCUUACGGGUGGCGAGUGGCGGACGGGUGAGGAAUACAUCGGAAUCUACUUUUUCGUGGGGGAUAACGUAGGGGAACUUACGCUAAUACCGCAUACGACCUACGGGUGAAAGCAGGGGAUCUUCGGACCUUGCGCGAUUGAAUGAGCCGAUGUCGGAUUAGCUAGUUGGCGGGGUAAAGGCCCACCAAGGCGACGAUCCGUAGCUGGUCUGAGAGGAUGAUCAGCCACACUGGAACUGAGACACGGUCCAGACUCCUACGGGAGGCACCAGUGGGGAAUAUUGGACAAUGGGCGCAAGCCUGAUCCAGCCAUACCGCGUGGGUGAAGAAGGCCUUCGGGUUGUAAAGCCCUUUUGUUGGGAAAGAAAAGCAGCAGGUUAAUACCCCGCUGUUCUGACGGUACCCAAAGAAUAAGCACCGGCUAACUUCGUG
rnacentral:rRNA from 1 species